GCCUGAGCAUGACAUGCUUUAAUACCCAGUUACUGUGCAGCUUUGUGUACACGCUGCAGUUUGGAGAGCAACACCUGGACUUCAGGAGUUUCGCUCUGAAUCCUGACCUCUUCCUUGUGUUUCUGUGACUCAUGGGGCCAUAAAUUGGUCACCAUGGCAACCAGCUGGAGGAUUGAAAAUCCCCCGUCUGACUUUCUGAGGUCAGCCGUCACUUGUUCACCAUCACUCUGCUCUGCAGCUGGUCUCCUUUUCCACAGUGCAGUGACACAGUGUUGAAGAGCUUUUAAAUUACUGUUUGUAUCUUGAGUGAGGACCUCUCCCUGUCUAACAGCAACACAUCGCUGGCCAACGAGGCUCAAACUCGCCUCUACUUCCUCUGGAAAUUAAGACAACUAUGAGUCCCACCUGCCAUCAUGUGUUCCUUCUAC
ensembl:lncRNA